GGUUAAGCGACUAAGCGUACACGGUGGAUGCCCUGGCAGUCAGAGGCGAUGAAGGACGUGCUAAUCUGCGAAAAGCGCCGGCGAGGUGAUAUGAACCUUUGACCCGGCGAUGUCCGAAUGGGGAAACCCAGUGUGUUCCGACACACUAUCGUUAACUGAAUACAUAGGUUAACGAGGCGAACCGGGGGAACUGAAACAUCUAAGUACCCCGAGGAAAAGAAAUCAACCGAGAUUCCCCCAGUAGCGGCGAGCGAACGGGGAGCAGCCCAGAGUCUGAAUCAGCUUGUGUGUUAGUGGAAGCGUCUGGAAAGUCGCACGGUACAGGGUGACAGUCCCGUACACGAAAAUGCACAGGUUGUGAACUCGAAGAGUAGGGCGGGACACGUGGUAUCCUGUCUGAAUAUGGGGGGACCAUCCUCCAAGGCUAAAUACUCCUGACUGACCGAUAGUGAACCAGUACCGUGAGGGAAAGGCGAAAAGAACCCCGGCGAGGGGAGUGAAAAAGAACCUGAAACCGUGUACGUACAAGCAGUGGGAGCACCUUCGUGGUGUGACUGCGUACCUUUUGUAUAAUGGGUCAGCGACUUAUAUUCUGUAGCAAGGUUAACCGUAUAGGGGAGCCGAAGGGAAACCGAGUCUUAACUGGGCGUUAAGUUGCAGGGUAUAGACCCGAAACCCGGUGAUCUAGCCAUGGGCAGGUUGAAGGUUGGGUAACACUAACUGGAGGACCGAACCGACUAAUGUUGAAAAAUUAGCGGAUGACUUGUGGCUGGGGGUGAAAGGCCAAUCAAACCGGGAGAUAGCUGGUUCUCCCCGAAAGCUAUUUAGGUAGCGCCUCGUGAACUCAUCUUCGGGGGUAGAGCACUGUUUCGGCUAGGGGGCCAUCCCGGCUUACCAACCCGAUGCAAACUACGAAUACCGAAGAAUGUUAUCACGGGAGACACACGGCGGGUGCUAACGUCCGUCGUGAAGAGGGAAACAACCCAGACCGCCAGCUAAGGUCCCAAAGUCAUGGUUAAGUGGGAAACGAUGUGGGAAGGCACAGACAGCCAGGAUGUUGGCUUAGAAGCAGCCAUCAUUUAAAGAAAGCGUAAUAGCUCACUGGUCGAGUCGGCCUGCGCGGAAGAUGUAACGGGGCUAAACCAUGCACCGAAGCUGCGGCAGCGACGCUUAUGCGUUGUUGGGUAGGGGAGCGUUCUGUAAGCCGUUGAAGGUGUGCUGUGAGGCAUGCUGGAGGUAUCAGAAGUGCGAAUGCUGACAUAAGUAACGAUAAAGCGGGUGAAAAGCCCGCUCGCCGGAAGACCAAGGGUUCCUGUCCAACGUUAAUCGGGGCAGGGUGAGUCGACCCCUAAGGCGAGGCCGAAAGGCGUAGUCGAUGGGAAACAGGUUAAUAUUCCUGUACUUGGUGUUACUGCGAAGGGGGGACGGAGAAGGCUAUGUUAGCCGGGCGACGGUUGUCCCGGUUUAAGCAUGUAGGCGGAGGUUCCAGGUAAAUCCGGUACCUUUUAACGCUGAGGUGUGAUGACGAGGCACUACGGUGCUGAAGUAACAAAUGCCCUGCUUCCAGGAAAAGCCUCUAAGCAUCAGGUAACAUCAAAUCGUACCCCAAACCGACACAGGUGGUCAGGUAGAGAAUACCAAGGCGCUUGAGAGAACUCGGGUGAAGGAACUAGGCAAAAUGGUGCCGUAACUUCGGGAGAAGGCACGCUGAUAUGUAGGUGAAGCCCCUGCGGGUGGAGCUGAAAUCAGUCGAAGAUACCAGCUGGCUGCAACUGUUUAUUAAAAACACAGCACUGUGCAAACACGAAAGUGGACGUAUACGGUGUGACGCCUGCCCGGUGCCGGAAGGUUAAUUGAUGGGGUUAGCGGCAACGCGAAGCUCUUGAUCGAAGCCCCGGUAAACGGCGGCCGUAACUAUAACGGUCCUAAGGUAGCGAAAUUCCUUGUCGGGUAAGUUCCGACCUGCACGAAUGGCGUAAUGAUGGCCAGGCUGUCUCCACCCGAGACUCAGUGAAAUUGAACUCGCUGUGAAGAUGCAGUGUACCCGCGGCAAGACGGAAAGACCCCGUGAACCUUUACUAUAGCUUGACACUGAACACUGGUCCUUGAUGUGUAGGAUAGGUGGGAGGCUUUGAAGUGUGGACGCCAGUCUGCAUGGAGCCGUCCUUGAAAUACCACCCUUUAAUGGCUGGUGUUCUAACGUAGACCCGUGAUCCGGGUUGCGGACAGUGUCUGGUGGGUAGUUUGACUGGGGCGGUCUCCUCCCAAAGAGUAACGGAGGAGCACGAAGGUUAGCUAAUCCUGGUCGGACAUCAGGAGGUUAGUGCAAUGGCAUAAGCUAGCUUGACUGCGAGAGUGACGGCUCGAGCAGGUGCGAAAGCAGGUCAUAGUGAUCCGGUGGUUCUGAAUGGAAGGGCCAUCGCUCAACGGAUAAAAGGUACUCCGGGGAUAACAGGCUGAUACCGCCCAAGAGUUCAUAUCGACGGCGGUGUUUGGCACCUCGAUGUCGGCUCAUCACAUCCUGGGGCUGAAGUAGGUCCCAAGGGUAUGGCUGUUCGCCAUUUAAAGUGGUACGCGAGCUGGGUUUAGAACGUCGUGAGACAGUUCGGUCCCUAUCUGCCGUGGGCGCUGGAGAAUUGAGGGGGGCUGCUCCUAGUACGAGAGGACCGGAGUGGACGCAUCACUGGUGUUCGGGUUGUCAUGCCAAUGGCACUGCCCGGUAGCUAAAUGCGGAAAAGAUAAGUGCUGAAAGCAUCUAAGCACGAAACUUGCCCCGAGAUGAGUUCUCCCUGAGACUUUAAGUCUCCUGAAGGAACGUUGAAGACGACGACGUUGAUAGGUCGGGUGUGUAAGCGCAGCGAUGCGUUGAGCUAACCGAUACUAAUGAACCGUGAGGCUUAACCUU
rnacentral:rRNA from 1 species